GGGCGGAGCAAGUCGUUAGCGGCUCUUGGGAAGAAAACCGUUGGGGAAACCAGGGUGGGAGGAGGGGCAGGUUACUCUGAGGUGAUGGAGGAGGAGGAGGAGGUUGCUUUCCCCCGCUCUAUUUUCUUCUUUCUCCUUCGGUGAGAGAACCCAAGCGCAGCAGGAAACAACUGACAUUCAGCAUUGCCCAGUCUUCCUGCACUUGGGAGGAAACAAAUUGACAAUUGGACAGACGCGAUCAUCUGGCUAUGGUAUGAGAAUGCUAUUAACAUAGCUAUGUAGCUGGUUAGCUGAAACUUCAGUCUCUUUCCCAAGAAUGGCUUCCAACAAGGCAUCAUGAAUAAAAACAUACUGCUCCUAGAAUGGCAGGAAGCAAAUAAAGAAUGAAGAAGCAAGCCCAUACUCCAACAAGAUCACACCCAUGAAGAAAGAUGGCAGCAUGUCUGAGCAGAAACCCAGAACUGGAGGUGCAGUGCUCAUCUGGUAGGAUGAAGUCAACUAUCCCUGAGAGCCACCCAUGAAGUAGGAUCCAGAUUCCUCACAUGUAUAAUAUCAGGGUCUGACAUCAGGCCAGGAAAGGGUGGGAGAGAAACACCAGCUAUGAAGCUACUCAUUUGGGGCUACCCAGCACUGAAGCAACAUCUAAGCUUCCUGUAUUCUGCUCCUUAAUGGACAGACUCCCUACUACCUUGGGCAACCGGAUCCCUGACUUUUUAUUCACGUCCCCUUGACAACUUGAAUAUCAAACGAAGGGAAAAUUCACAGCUGAUUUUCAAUUGUGACUGUUCCAAGAGAGGUUACCUUGGUGAGAAGCAAUUAGGAAUGUGGCAAAGGUAUAGAAAUCAGAUGGUGUCCCAUGUCUGUCAUGGGGAAGCCUAAAAAUAGUGGCCUAUGUGAAGGAUAGCCAACAUUUCCCAGCAGCCCUAGCCAGUACGGCCAAUGAUCAGGAAUGAUGGGCGUUGUAGCACAACAACAUAUGGAGGGCACCACAUUGGCUUAUGCAAAUCCCUUAUGGGUUCAUUCCACAUAUACUUUGUGGGAGUGAAGAGAUUUUGGCUUUGAAAUAGCAGUUUAAAAAUUAUUAUACUUCCUUUAAAAGAGAUACCCAACUUCAGAAAUCAAAACCAAUAGGCAAAACAAUAUUUACCGGGUAAGUAAGAGGCAACAAGGGCACCCUGAAGCAUUCUGAAAGGCUAUUUCAGGAAUAUAUCCCUCUGCUGCACAAUGCAGACAGAAGCUGCCUCGCUUUUUGUUAAUGGCAGCGAUUUCAGAGACAGAUGAAGCAAAGCCUACUUUAAGUCAGUGCAAGUUUACAGAUGUGUAGCUGAUUAUUUUGAAUAAUUAAAUGGUGUCAAAACCAGCUGUGA